UACGUAGGGUGCGAGCGUUGUCCGGAAUUAUUGGGCGUAAAGAGCUUGUAGGCGGUUUGUCGCGUCUGCUGUGAAAAUCCGGGGCUCAGCCCCGGACUUGCAGUGGGUACGGGCAGACUAGAGUGUGGUAGGGGAGACUGGAAUUCCUGGUGUAGCGGUGAAAUGCGCAGAUAUCAGGAGGAACACCGAUGGCGAAGGCAGGUCUCUGGGCCACUACUGACGCUGAGAAGCGAAAGCAUGGGGAGCGAACAGG
rnacentral:rRNA from 1 species